CGUCAAUUAUUAAGGAGGUCCCGCCUGCCCUGUGACUAAAAGUUUAACGGCCGCGGUAUUUUGACCGUGCGAAGGUAGCGUAAUCACUUGUCUUUUAAAUAGAGACCUGUAUGAAUGGCACAACGAGGGCUAAGCUGUCUCCUUUUUCUAGUCAAUGAAAUUGAUCUACCCGUGCAGAAGCGGGUAUAACAACAUAAGACGAGAAGACCCUAUGGAGCUUAAGGCGCCACUACAGACCACGUUAAUAUACCCCCAUAAAAGGGAACAAACCAAAUGGCCCCUGUUUUGCUGCCUUUGGUUGGGGCGACCGCGGAGCAACGAGUAACCUCCACGUGGAACGAGUUUAUUCUCCUAAGACAAGAGCCACAGCUCUACUAAACAGAAGAUCUGACCCUAAAGAUCCGGCAAAGCCGAUCAACGGACCCAGUUACCCUAGGGAUAACAGCGCAAUCCCCUUCUAGAGCCCAUAUCGACAAGGGGGUUUACGACCUCGAUGUUGGAUCAGGACCUCCUAAUGGUGCAGCCGCUAUUAAGGGUUCGUUUGUUCAACGAUUAAAGUCCUACGUGAUCUGAUUUCAAACCGGGGGAAAG
rnacentral:rRNA from 2 species